UUUUUAGUAUAAGUAUGUCCAGUGCAACUUUGGGGACAUACUUAUACUAAAA
rnacentral:pre_miRNA from 1 species